rnacentral:lncRNA from 10 species
UCUCACAUGAGGUCCCGGCGAGAAGGACCUGCUUCCAUCAGAUUCACACUUGGGAGAGGGGCCCGGCCUCCAGGAGCGCCAGGCAGAAAGGGCACCCAUUAGGAAGAAGAACACAGAGGCCAUGGGAGUGAAAAGUUUGAUGCUGGAAAGCAACAGUAGCACAUUCUGCUACAGAGCGGAAUGAAAAACCCUGGGGAGCAAAUUCCUGAGCCAGAGAAUGGAGCGGAGGAACCAGCCAAGGAGGAUAAAGAGACUUAGCCUAGAAAAUAAUGAAGAAGGACAGAAAGAGAAUACCAUUCUACUACACCCGCUGAUGACUUAAAACCUGCGUGCUCUGAGGCUGCCCGACCCUGAGCUCCAGAACAGACCAUCGAGUUCAGGAGACAAGCAUGUCAGCCAUGACACAAGGCAGAUGAGAGGGACCCCCAGCGUCCACACGUGGAGGCAGCGGGGGCAGCCGAUCCAUACAAACAGGCUGACCAUCAGGGCUGGUCCCAGGCCACCAGGCUGGGUGCAAUGCAGAAAUGGAGAUCUGCCCCGGGGAAGGCAGG